rnacentral:snoRNA from 1 species
CAGGCUGUGAUGAUUGGCGCAGGGGUACGGACCUCAGCUGAGUCAUGGGAGCUGAAUGUAUGUGCGUCCCCUUAGCCCUGCACGUGGCAGGGUGACGGUGAGCACUUGCAUGAGACUGUUGCCGCAAUUCUGAGCCUG